UAAUAAAGUGGCUGAGAUGUAAGCGGUAGAUUGUAAAUCUAUAGACGAAUAUAAUUCCUUUAUUAA
rnacentral:tRNA from 1 species